rnacentral:rRNA from 1 species
CUACGGGAGGCAGCAGUGGGGAAUAUUGGGCAAUGGGCGCAAGCCUGACCCAGCAACGCCGCGUGAGGGAAGAAGGUUUUCGGAUUGUAAACCUCUGUCCUUGGGGACGAAUAAAAUGACGGUACCCAAGGAGGAAGCUCCGGCUAACUACGUGCCAGCAGCCGCGGUAAUACGUAGGGAGCAAGCGUUGUCCGGAAUUACUGGGCGUAAAGGGUGCGUAGGCGGCAUAUUAAGUCAGGUGUGAAAUUUUCGGGCUCAACCCGAAACCUGCAUCUGAAACUGAUAAGCUUGAAUAUGAGAGAGGAAAGUGGAAUUCCUAGUGUAGCGGUGAAAUGCGUAGAUAUUAGGAGGAACACCAGUGGCGAAGGCGACUUUCUGGCUCAUCACUGACGCUGAGGCACGAAAGCGUGGGUAGCAAACAGGAUUAGAUACCCCCGUAGUC